rnacentral:sRNA from 1 species
AUGUGGCUGUGCUAGCGUCUAUGUCUGCAGCCCUGGGUUGGGGCAGGGAUGAGUGGGCGGCCUCCUACCUGCUUCUGUCUUCCAGGGCCUCUGCUGAUGUUUUCUCCACAGUCCUCCGUAGGGCCCAUGCAUUUAUCUCCAGAAGUCCAGUUACCUCCUUGCCAUCCCAAGCUGCCUGCCUCCUGGAUCAGGGCCCACACCUCAGCAGUGGUCUGCUUCUCCCUCGUCCUGAUCAACACAAGGCUAGCCGGUCAUCCAUAGGCUGCACCUGCCUGUUAAUAUUCCCCCUCAUGGCUGCUCCUUCUCUCUUGCCCAUGUCCCUAUCAUCUUCCCUUUGCCAGGCACUGUGGCCUCCCAUGCAUUAUCGUUUUUAUCCUCUCAGCAGCCUUGUAGGGCAGGGAUGUGAAACUGAGGCUCAGGGAGAUUUGCCAACUCCAGGGGCCCAAAUGUGGCCAACCUCUUGCGGCUAUUUCAGAUCCCACAGAUCAGCUACGCCUCUACCAGUGCCAAGCUGAGUGACAAGUCCCGCUAUGACUACUUUGCCCGCACAGUGCCUC